ACCUUAACAGUGAAACUGCGAAUGGCUCAUUAAAUCAGUUAUAAUUUAUUUGAUCUUUCCUUACCAGUGGAUAUCCGUGGUAAUUCUAGAGCUAAUACAUAUACGCGAAGACCCAACUUCUGGAAGGGUUGUAUUUAUUAGAUAAAAAACCAAUGUGGGCAACCACUUUUUUGGUGAUUCAUAGUAACUUUACUGAUCGCAAUUUAUUGCGACAUAUCAUAAAAAUUUCUGCCCUAUCAACUUUCGAUGGUAAGGUAGUGGCUUACCAUGGUUUUUACGGGUGACGGGGAAUAAGGGUUCGAUUCCGGAGAGGGAGCCUGAGAAACGGCUACCACAUCCAAGGAAGGCAGCAGGCGCGCAAAUUACCCAAUCCUGAUACAGGGAGGUAGUGACAAUAAAUAACGAUCUAGGGCCUUUAAGGUCAUAGAAUUGGAAUGAGUACAAAUUAAAACUAUUAACGAGGAACAAUUGGAGGGCAAGUCUGGUGCCAGCAGCCGCGGUAAUUCCAGCUCCAAUAGCGUAUAUUAAAGUUGUUGCAGUUAAAACGCCCGUAGUCGAACUUUUAGAACAUUGGAGGGUUAGUUUCAGUUCUUGGCAUUUAUGUUAGGUUCAGUGCUGGCUUUUCAGGUUCUAUUACUUUAUAUCUCUGGCCUUUGGGCAUUGGUGCUGCCUUUACUGGUAGUGUCUUUGUCAUUUCUCUUCGGAGAGGGCUAGGGAUGAUUACUUUGAAAAAAUUAGAGUGUUCAAAGCAGGCUUUAUGCCUGAAUACAUUAGCAUGGAAUAAUAAAAUAGGACUUUGGUUUUAUUUUGUUGGUUUCUAAAACUGAAGGAAUGAUGAAUAGGGUUGGUUGGGGUCAUUAGUAUUUUAUUGCUAGAGGUGAAAUUCUUGGAUUUGUGAAAGACUAACUUCUGCGAAAGCAUUUGACAAGGACAAUCUCAUUGAUCAAGGACGAAAGUUGGGGGAUCGAAGAUGAUUAGAUACCGUCGUAGUCUCAACCAUAAACUAUGCCAACUAGGGAUCAGUAUUCCAUUUAUGAGAAUAUUGGCACCUUGUGAGAAAUCAAAGUUU
rnacentral:rRNA from 1 species